GACGAACGCUGGCGGCGUGCUUAACACAUGCAAGUCGUACGGUAAGGCCCUUUCGGGGGUACACGAGUGGAGAACGGGUGAGUAACACGUGAGUAACCUGCCCACAACUUUGGGAUAACGCUAGGAAACUGGUGCUAAUACUGGAUAUGUGCUCCUGCUGCAUGGUGGGGGGUGGAAAGCUCCGGCGGUUGUGGAUGGACUCGCGGCCUAUCAGCUUGUUGGUGGGGUAGUGGCCUACCAAGGCGGCGACGGGUAGCCGGCCUGAGAGGGUGACCGGCCACAUUGGGACUGAGAUACGGCCCAGACUCCUACGGGAGGCAGCAGUGGGGAAUAUUGCACAAUGGGCGCAAGCCUGAUGCAGCAACGCCGCGUGCGGGAUGACGGCCUUCGGGUUGUAAACCGCUUUCAGCAGGGACGAAGCUUUUUGUGACGGUACCUGCAGAAGAAGCACCGGCUAAUUACGUG
rnacentral:rRNA from 1 species